UACGAAGGGGGCUAGCGUUGUUCGGAUUUACUGGGCGUAAAGCGCACGUAGGCGGAUCUUUAAGUCAGAGGUGAAAUCCCAAGGCUCAACCUUGGAACUGCCUUUGAUACUGGGGAUCUUGAGUCCGGGAGAGGUGAGUGGAACUGCGAGUGUAGAGGUGAAAUUCGUAGAUAUUCGCAAGAACACCAGUGGCGAAGGCGGCAUUCUGGACCGAUAUUGACGCUGAGGAGCGAAAGCCAGGGGAGCAAACGGG
rnacentral:rRNA from 1 species